GGGCCGUUAGCUCAGGUGGUAGAGCACCGGACUUUUAAUCCGAUGGUCACAAGUUCGAAUCUUGUACGGCCUACCA
rnacentral:tRNA from 1 species